rnacentral:rRNA from 1 species
AGCGAACGCUGGCGGCAGGCUUAACACAUGCAAGUCGAACGGGCAUCUUCGGAUGUCAGCGGCAGACGGGUGAGUAACACGUGGGAACGUACCCCUCGGUUCGGAACAACUCUGGGAAACUGGAGCUAAUACCGGAUACGCCCUUAUGGGGAAAGGUUUACUGCCGAAGGAUCGGCCCGCGUCUGAUUAGCUAGUUGGUGGGGUAACGGCCUACCAAGGCGACGAUCAGUAGCUGGUCUGAGAGGAUGAUCAGCCACACUGGGACUGAGACACGGCCCAGACUCCUACGGGAGGCAGCAGUGGGGAAUAUUGGACAAUGGGCGCAAGCCUGAUCCAGCCAUGCCGCGUGAGUGAUGAAGGCCUUAGGGUUGUAAAGCUCUUUUGUCCGGGACGAUAAUGACGGUACCGGAAGAAUAAGCCCCGGCUAACUUCGU